CCCUUAGAUGUUCUGGGCCGCACGCGCGCUACACUGAUGCAUUCAACGAGCUUAUAACCUUGGCCGAGAGGCCUGGGCAAUCUUGUUAACGUGCAUCGUGAUAGGGAUAGAUUAUUGAAAUUACUAAUCUUGAACGAGGAAUUCCUAGUAAACGCAGAUCAUCAAUCUGCAUUGAUUACGUCCCUGCCCUUUGUACACACCGCCCGUCGCUCCUACCGAUUUCGAGUGGUCCGGUGAACCUUCUGGACUGAGUUCGCAAGAAUUCGGGAAGUUAAGUAAACCUUAUCACUUAGAGGAAGGAGAAGUCGUAACA
rnacentral:rRNA from 1 species